GGGCCGCUAGCUCAAUUGGCAGAGCACCGGUCUCUUAAACCGGGGGUUCGGGGAUCGAAACCCUGGCGGCCCA
rnacentral:tRNA from 1 species